rnacentral:lncRNA from 1 species
CAUGAUGGUGAAUGCCGAAUAUUCCUGUGCAAUAUAUCACUUCCAGGUCCAUGCACAAUACUUUUGUCUCUAGCAGCAAUGCAACAAGCGCCACCCAUUUCUCAAGAACACUGAAGAAGACAGUUCCAGUGUGAAGACAGAAGUCUCAAUCACGUGCUCAAAAAUCUAUACCCAACUGUGAGAACAUCACCAUCACCAAUAGAG